AAGAAGGCAGUGUUCAGGCUCUCGGCUGUCUCUGUAGAAAUGGUGGUAGUAGGAAAGAGAGUCCAAAGGGAGAUUUUUAUGUUUUUAAGAGUUAUUUUUAAAGUUUUCAAUUUCACAUCAUUUUUAAAUUUUAAUUUUCAACAAAAUUCUAUAUGUUCAAUUGCAUGUGGUUUAGAAAUUAAAGCUAUUUCCGACAAGGGUCUUGUUUGCCAUGGGAUUUUCCCUAAUUAUCCACAUCUUGUAUGAAUGUGGCAUUUCUGUUACAAAUGAUCGCGGAAUACUGAUAUGCCACUAUGAAUUGAAGCCACAGUCUGUAUUAGGAUUCCUUCUGCUGUUUGUGGAGACGAUAUCACACAGUAACAUCCUUGUAGUAACACACAGAACACGUUCACACCUUUAAGUAUGUAUUCUACCAAUCACUCUGCCACUGCCAGCCACUCCUCGUAUUUGCCACCUCUAUAGCUUUCUUUUCAGCAUCUGGCAUGGUUAGAACCAGAGUGCCUAGCUCUUUUAUAAACACUUCUCGCCAGAGUAAUAUGCAGUUAGAGGCCAUGCCUAUUGUUUUGUUGAUUGGUAGCUCAUUAAAAUCAAUAGUGUUUCACUCUAUAAGUGUGUCAUAAAUUAUCUAUUUGUUUACUCCAAAGUUGCUUUAAGUUUAACCAAAGUGGCUAUGGAUAUUCCUUUUUUUUUAAAGGAUGCGUUUAUUUUUAUGUUUAUGAGAGGGUUUUUGUUUUUGUUUUUGCCUAGUUAUGUUUAAAUAUACCACAUGCAUGCCUGGUUCCUCAUAAGGAACCUGUACGUCAUAAGAGGACAUCAGAUCUCUGGAGCUGGAGUUAUAGACAAGUAGGAGUCACUUCACUGUAUGUGAACUAGAACCAAACUCAGCUCCUAUGCAAGAAUAGCAAACACUGUUAACACCGAGUCAAUCUCCAGUCCAUUGCUACAUACAUUCUUUAUAUUCAUUCUUUCUUUAUAUACAUUAUAUACACUCUUUAUAUACAUACUUUCACGUUUUCAGUCCAUUGCUAUAUACAUUCUUUCACGUUUUCAGUCCAUUGCUACAUACAUUCUUUAUAUACAUUCUUUCACGUUUUCAGUCCAUUGCUACAUACAUUCUUUAUAUACAUUCUUUCACGUUUUCAGUCCAUUGCUACAAACAUUCUUUAUAUACAUUCUUUCACGUUUUCAGUCCAUUGCUGUAUGCAUUCUUUAUAUACAUUCUUUCAUGUUUUCAGUCCAUUGCUACAUACAUUCUUUUUUUCCCAUUUUUUAUUAGGUAUUUAGCUCAUUUACAUUACAUUCUUUAUAUAAAUUUUUUAUAUACAUUAUAUACAUUCUUUCUUUCAUGUUUUCAGAUGAACAUAAGGGUUCAGUUCACUUAGUGCUAUAUUAGACUUUGUCACUGUCACCAAACAUUAAUGGAAAGAAGAUCAAAGACAAAACGUUUAUUUUAGCUCACAGCUUCAGGGCUUUGGUCCAUGGUUGGCCUCUGCAUUGGCCACAAAACAGGAAUGUGACAGUAGAAGGGCAUGGUGGAUGAAAGCUGCUCAACUUUUAGAAGUGUGGAAGCAGACAGGACUUAAAGCAAGAGAAAAAGCACAGCCCAGUGACCUCUUUCAGCUCACCUCCUAAAGUCUCCAGCACUUCCAACUAUCCCAAUAAUACUACCCACUGAGACUAAGCCUUUGGUGCAGGGAUCUCUAGGAGUUACUCUUGAUCUGAACCAUAACAGGUACCGACUUUCUUCUAACUAUCGCUGAAAUGAGGUAGAUAUUCAGUGUAUGUGUUAGGAUCAAAAACUAAACAACACCCCCUCCCGUGAAAACCCCACCAUUGUUGUUGAAUGGCAGAUUAGUGACUAUUAUAUGUGUAGAGAUGUGUUAGGAGAGUAUAAGGAUACCCUGUAAGGACAUUGAAAAAAAUGACCUUACAUUUGCUUGUUUAUUUGUUUGUAUGUAUGUAUGUAUAUAUGUAUGUAUGUGUGCACAUCUGUCACGGCACAUGUGUGGAAGGUUGUAGGAGUUAGAUCUCUCUUGUCAAGUUUGGCCCAAUAUGCAGAGUCAUCUCUCACCAGCCAUGGAAGGCAUUUUACUCACAUUAAUAGUCAGAGAAGUAGGAACUAAAUGCUUAAGUCCUUAUGCAAACUUAAUUCAAUGGUUAUAAAACCUUUUUAAAAAAGGAUUUAUUUAUUUAUGUGGUGUGUGUGUGUGUGUGUGUGUGUGUGUGUGUGUGUGUGUGUGUGAAGCAUGUGCAGGUGCCCACAAGGCCAGAAGAGAGUCAGUUCCCUUGGGGCUGGAAUUAUCAGAGGUUGUGAGCCACCUAGUAUGUAUGCUAGGAACCUAAGCAGGGUUCUGGAAGAGUGGCAAGCAUUCUGCACCUCUGAGUUCUUUCUAGCCCUCUAUAAACACUUUAACUGCCUUUAGACUUGAUAAGUUUAAUAUGCUUGGUUCUCUUUAAGCAUUCAAAUGUUGUGAUUUUACAGCCAGCACUCUUUGAGUUCUUAACCUCUUCUUAUAAACCUAAUUAAACACAUAUUUGAAAUGUAGCUCAUCUAAAGCACUUCAAUGUUGUGGGAAACUGUUAAAAUUCUUUCAUAUGUUUUCAUUAAUCUGAAGUUUAGCAUAAAUUAAAAUUACAAGCAUAGUUUGUUGACGUGUGAAACUUAUAAGCAUAAUAAACACAACAUUAACUAACUACAAAAUUCUGUCCAAGUGAUUAUGUACUGAUUCUUAAAUUUACUAUCGAAGGUUUAAAAUAUUAUGGUUUUGAUUUGGAAUCACGAUGUUGCUGCUUAAAACUAAAUAUUCACAGUGUUCUUGUGCCCACGGUGAUCUAGAGUGACCACCAGUAAUGGUAGCCUUGUUUUAUGAAGUGAGGUAGGUGACUUGCAUAGCUAGAAGUCAGGAGAAGGUGAUAGGUGCCAUUUGUGUCUAGUGUCCUGCUCUCCCCAUGGUUGGUAAGGGAUCAUUUGAUGUAGCCCUGCCACUAAGGGCUUGCUUCUGCCCUGAAUCCUCUCCUUUUCUGUUUAAGACAGGUGCAUUUCCCUCCUUUCAAACAGUCUUUCCACCUUUUCAUUGAAAGAUUUACCCUGUUUUUUUUUUUAAUCUCUCUUCCUAUUGGUGAGGUCUGAACUCUGUUUUCCAGGCUAAAAUGGCCUUCUCGUUGGCUUUAUAUCCAAUCAGUCUAUGCCUUUAGGCAGACUGUUCUCAAUAUUGCUUUUGACUACUCAGCUCAGAUGAGGCUCUGCCUUAGGACCUUCAGGUGUCUUUUGCCCCAUCCUCUCCUUUCUGACAUCACAUAUUAGAAUGUCCAUCUUUAACCUGUCAGUCACAGCUCUCUCAGCUCUCUCUGCUCAUGGUUUGCCUCUUCAAAGUUUCUCUAAUCACCUUUUCUGAUUUGUGCUUCCUCUUGUCAUCCUCCCUCUUUCUGACCUACUCCCAGACAUUCUAUGGUCUCUUCACUAGAAAAUAUUGUCUUUACUGAUUACUGGCCUUCUUGCAAAUAAUUUAUUUAUCAUACAGUUGUAUUGCAGUGACUUCAGCUUCCUGAUACUUGCUGGCACUAAUGUGUUCAGCAGCAUAUGAGUCAGAUGUACAUGUUGAGUGAAGAAAGAAUGGCUCCUAUUUAGACGGAAAGCCCAGGGGAAAGCAGUGGAUUUACCUAUCUGGUUUAUAGCUGCAUGGUAGCACCUCUGCUAUACCAGGCUCUGAUACAUUCUGAAUGAAUGAUGGGCAGUUUUUUGUUUGGAACUCUGUGUGACAUUUCAAAUCCUAGUUUUAACUCUGUCUUAGUUAGUGUUUUAUUGCUCUGAAGAGACACCAUGACCAAGACAAUUUGUAUAAUGGUAAACAUUUAAUUGGGUCUGGCUUACAGUUUCAGAGGCUCAGUCCAUUAUCGUCAUAGUGAGGAAGCAUGGAAGUAUGCAGGCAGACUUGGUGUUGGGGAGCCAAGAGUUUUACAUCUUGAUGAGAGGGCAGCCAGGAGAAAACAGACUCUUCUGCAGGCAGCCGAGAGGAGGCUCCCUUUAACACUGGGUGGAGCCUGAGAUUAGAGCCUCAAAAUCCAACCCCACAGUGUUGAAUUUUCCCUCACAAGGCCAUACCUACUCCACCAAGGCCACACCUCUAAAUAGUGCCACUUCCCGUGGGCCAAGUAUAUUCAAACCACAGAUUUAACUGACCAUGUUUUCUGCAUGAUGGACAACUGAUCUUUCACCUCCCUAGUCCCAGUGAUAGUAUAGUCAAAGGAGUUUUGUAGGGUAUACCAGGGAGGCUGAGUUAAAGUAACUGUGAUCACUCCGUUAGCUUGUUGGCUUGAUUUUUUUCUUUUGUCUUACAUUUUUAUGUCAAGAAAAAAACAGAAGACCAUUAUUGUAAGCACAAAGCCAAGAAUAAGAUGGAAUACUUAAAAUGAUUGGAGGACUUAUCAUUGCUAAAGUAACUUGUCAUCUCUGGCAAAGAACUGACAUUAAACACUGCCAUUUAUAAAAUGAUUUUAUGUACAGAGUAAUUUAUAGUAAAACUCACAGUAUUUAAAGUAAGAUAAGUAUGUUCAAAAGGAAUAGACCUGAAAAUCCCUAAGUAAAAUUGCCUUUGAAAAAUAUCCG
ensembl:sense_intronic Gm10484 predicted gene 10484